rnacentral:rRNA from 1 species
CCAGACUCCUACGGGAGGCAGCAGUGGGGAAUAUUGCACAAUGGGGGGAACCCUGAUGCAGCGACGCCGCGUGGGUGAAGGAGUAUUUCGGUAUGUAAAGCCCUAUCAGCAGGGAAGAACAAUGACGGUACCUGACUAAGAAGCACCGGCUAAAUACGUGCCAGCAGCCGCGGUAAUACGUAUGGUGCAAGCGUUAUCCGGAUUUACUGGGUGUAAAGGGAGCGCAGGCGGCGCGUUAAGCCUGGUGUGAAAGCCCGCGGCCCAACCCCGGGGCUGCAUUGGGAACUGCCAGGCUGGAGCGCCGGAGAGGCAGGCGGAAUUCCUAGUGUAGCGGUGAAAUGCGUAGAUAUUAGGAGGAACACCAGUGGCGAAGGCGGCCUGCUGGACGGUGACUGACGCUGAGGCUCGAAAGCGUGGGGAGCAAACAGGAUUAGAUACCCGAGUA